GGCAUGAUCACAUCAAGAACGCGGCAUGAUCACACCAAGACCACAGCCAUGAUCACACCAAGACCACAGCAUGAUCAUACCAAGACUACGGCCAUAUUCACACCAAGGCCAUGCCAAGACCAUGGCCAAGAACACACCAAGACUAUGUCAAGACCAUGGCAAGACCAUGGCCAUGAUCACACCAAGAACACGGCAUGAUCACACCAAGACCACAGCCAUGAUCACACCAAGACCUCGGCCAUGAUCACAACAAGGCCACAGCCAUGAUCACACCAAGGCCAUGCCAAGACUAUGGCCAAGACCACGGCAUGAUCACACCAAGACCACGGCAUGAUCACACCAAGACCACAGCCAUGAUCACACCAAGACCACAGCAUGAUCAUACCAAGACUACGGCCAUAUUCACACCAAGGCCAUGCCAAGACCAUGGCCAAGAACACACCAAGACUAUGUCAAGACCAUGGCAAGACCAUGGCCAUGAUCACACCAAGAACACAGCAUGAUCACACCAAGACCACGGCAUGAUCACACCAAGACCACAGCCACGAUCACACCAAGAACAUGGCAUGAUCACACCAAGAACACGGAUAUGAUCACACCAAGACCACAGCCAUGAUCACAACAAGGCCAUGCCAAGACCAUGGCCAUGACCACACCAAGACCACGCCAACACUGUGGCCAUGACCACAGCAAGACCAUGGCCAAGACCACGGCCAAGACCACACCAAGACCAUGGCCAAGACCACAACAAGACCACAACAAGACCACAACAAGACCACACCAAGACCAUGGCCAAGACCACACCAACACCACACUAAGACCACACCAAGGCCAUGGCCAAGACCAUGGCCAAGCACACCAAGACCACCCCAAGACCAUGCCAAGACCAUGGCCAAGACCACAGCCAUCACCAUGCCAAGACCACGGCCAUGACCACACCAAGACCACAGCCAAGAUCAUGGCCAAGACAUCAACCACGACCACGCCAAUACCACAGCCAAAACUGAGCCAACGUGCGGCCGUGACCCUUCCCAGACCUCACCAUGCCCACGGCCAUGGCCAACCCAACACCACAACCACCGCAACCACGGAAAGACCACGGCCAAACCCAACCCAACACCACACUCAGGUCCACGACCGUGACCACACGAAGACCACAACAAAGAUGGCUCCCGUGGCCCCCCCCCAAGCCCCCAUCCCCGCGUGCACUCACGUCGCACUCGUUGCAGUAGUACGCUGGCUCGUCCUUCACGCGGCCCUGGUAGGCGAUCUUCUUGCCGGCGCGCACCAGGCUCUCGCGCUGCACCUGGCAGUGCUUGAUGGACUGCAUCAGGCAGUACCUGCAACGGCACCACCGCCGUGUCCCCCCGUCCUGCCGUCCCCCCGUCCUGCCGUCCCCCCGUCCUGC
rnacentral:lncRNA from 1 species